AUGGAAGACUACAGAAAAAGUAUCAGGUACAAAGCCAAAAACAAGUUGGCGGGAGAGGUUUAAGAAGAUCCGGCUCGACACUGAGACCGAAGGUGUACCCAGUACUGCCAUCCGAGAGAUCUCUCUCCUUAAGGAACUUAAUCACCCUAAUAUCAUCAAGCUGCUGGAUGUCAUCCACACAGAAAAUAAGCUUUAUCUGGUUUUUUAAUUUCUGCACCAGGACCUCAAGAAAUUUAUGGACGCCUCCGCUCUCACGGGCAUCCCUCUCCCCCUCAUCAAGAGCUAUCUGUUCCAGCUGCUCCAGGGCCUGGCAUUCUGCCAUUCUCACCGUGUCCUUCACCGAGACCUUAAGCCCCAGAACCUGCUUAUCAAUGCAGAGGGGUCCAUCAAGCUGGCAGACUUGGGACUAGCAAGAGCCUUUGGAGUCCCUGUCCGAACUUACACUCAUGAGGUGGUGACCCUGUGGUACCGAGCGCCUGAAAUUCUUCUGGGCUGCAAGUACUACUACUCCACAGCCGUGGAUAUCUGGAGCCUGGGCUGCAUCUUUGCUGAAAUGGUGACCCACAGAGCCCUAUUCCCUGGAGAUUCUGAGACUGACCAACUCUUCCGGAUCUUUCGGACUCUGGAGACCCCAGAUGAGGUGGUUUGGCCAGGAGUUACUUCUAUGCCUGAUUAUAAGCCAAGUUUCCCCAAGUGGGCUCGGCAAGAUUUUAGCAAAGUUGUGCCUCCCCUGGAUGAAGAUGGAUGGAGCUUGUUAUCGUAAUUGCUGCACUAUGACCCCAACAAGCAGAUUUCAGCCAAAGCAGCCCUGGCUCACCCUUUCUUCCAGGAUGUGACUAAGCCAGUGCCCCACCUUCGACUCUGAUGUCCUUCCCAAAGCCCUCUUCACCUGUGGUCUGACUUGACCCUGGGCCUUUGGACACAGGUCAGCCUUCUGCUGUUUUCUGGCUGUCUUAGCACUCGCCUUUUCUCUUGCCAGCCAGUUCUGGGGAUUCAGAGGAGCAGGGAAGGGUUAGGGGAAAGGGGGAGAGGUUUUGGCAUUAGAUGCACUUAACCUGGCUUCCACCAGCUUCUCUCCCUCUUCUCAGUCAUUACUGAGAAGGAUUGGUAUUCAAAGCAAAACUGACAGAUUUCCCCUGUGUCAGGUUUUGCCAUCCCAAAGUUAAGACUGUCUCAUAAUUACCAUGUUGAGGGAAACGCCCCCAGACUCCUGCUGCCACUGUUUUGUGAACUAAUGAGCAUGAGCAGAAGCCUAAGUUGGGACAGCUCAGAACCAAGCAGGAGGGGGCCGUUUUAAUGAAUUAGAUUGAAAAAUAGACCUAAGCUGUUUGUACCUUAGUUUUAGCGUUUGGCCUCACCUAGCAAUCAAGGGCCUGGUU